rnacentral:lncRNA from 1 species
UAAUAGAAUAAUAUAUUAGUGAGGUCCUAAGUUAUGUAAAUUUAAGAUAGAGGUGAUAGAAAAUCAAGCUCUUAAAGCUAUUGGCCGAAAAUGCAUGAACUAAGUAAGAAUGAUCAUGGCUUUUAAUAGGCAAUUGUAUGAAACAAGACAUGAAGGCAAAUAAAUUAGUAUUAAGUGUUUUUCUUUGGCAACUAUGAAAUUAAACGUGUGGGAAAUGAAUUGUAAUGAUGGGCAUUAAGUGGC